CGCCGUAGCUAAAGAAUCAGUUGCGAGGCAAAAGAAGAAGUGAACUGGCCUGGUCGGUGGUUCCAUUGUACCUGUAAUUUGAUAUGUUUGAUGUUGCAGUAUGUUAGCAAUAUAGGAACUAAGUUGCUGUUUGGUUUAUAUGUUUGUAAUGUAAUAGAUAACAAAUAACGUUUGAUCAUGUUUGUUUAAGUCUAACCGUAAUCGGAUACCACACUAGAAAUUGUUACCAGCCUAUUCAAAUUUGUUACCGCUGGUAAUCGAAUGCAAAUCAUUACCGUUACCAUUUACGUUACAUUUUGGGAACCAAACGACACCUAGGAAGCUAGGUCUUAGUGAGUUUGUGGUGUCGUCAUUAGAUUUUGAUCUUCUUUACUUCUUUUUUUGGGCCGUGUUCGUUUUUUUAAACAGUGAUGUUCUACGUACGUGUAAAAUCCUUACGUUUGGUCUGUUACUAACAAUUUCUUAAUUCCACCUGUGCAUUCCAAUUAUUGAACUAAAUUUUGGACACCUGCACCUUCCAUAUGAAAUAAUGAGACAGGAUGGUUUUUAUCUAAAAAAUAUUAGGGAAGGAAUUGAGCAUGGUACAGCCUUG
rnacentral:lncRNA from 1 species